CGCAGCCGCGGUAAUUCCAGCUCCAAUAGCGUAUAUUAAAGUUGUUGCAGUUAAAAAGCUCGUAGUUGAAUUUCGGGAUCAAUUGAUCGGUCGUGCCUCUGGUACGCACUGGUUUUAUUGGUUUCUCCUUCUGACGAACCAGGAUGUCAUUAAUUUGGUGUCUUGGAGAAUCGAGGACUGUUACUUGAAAAAUUAGAGUGUUUAAAGCAGGCUAACGCUUGAAUACAUUAGCAUGGAAUAAUGAAAUAGGACGUUUGAUCCUAUUUUGUGGUUUCUAGGAU
rnacentral:misc_RNA from 1 species